UACGGAGGAUGCGAGCGUUAUCCGGAUUUAUUGGGUUUAAAGGGUGCGUAGGCGGAUCGUUAAGUCAGUGGUCAAAUUGAGGGGCUCAACCCCUUCCCGCCAUUGAAACUGGCGACCUUGAGUGGAAGAGAAGUAUGCGGAAUGCAUGGUGUAGCGGUGAAAUGCAUAGAUAUCACGCAGAACCCCGAUUGCGAAGGCAGCAUGCCGGCUUCCUACUGACGCUGAAGCACGAAAGCGUGGGGAUCGAACAGG
rnacentral:rRNA from 1 species